rnacentral:rRNA from 1 species
GAUGAACGCUGGCGGCGUGCCUAAUACAUGCAAGUCGAGCGAACAGACGAGGAGCUUGCUCCUCUGACGUUAGCGGCGGACGGGUGAGUAACACGUGGAUAACCUACCUAUAAGACUGGGAUAACUUCGGGAAACCGCAGCUAAUACCGGAUAAUAUAUUGAACCGCAUGGUUCAAUAGUGAAAGACGGUUUUGCUGUCACUUAUAGAUGGAUCCGCGCCGCAUUAGCUAGUUGGUAAGGUAACGGCUUACCAAGGCAACGAUGCGUAGCCGACCUGAGAGCGUGAUCGGCCACACUGGAACUGAGACACGGUCCAGACUCCUACGGGAGGCAGCAGUAGGGAAUCUUCCGCAAUGGGCGAAAGCUUGACGGAGCAACGCCGCGUGAGUGAUGAAGGUCUUCGGAUCGUAAAACUCUGUUAUUAGGGAAGAACAAAUGUGUAAGUAACUAUGCACGUCUUGACGGUACCUAAUCAGAAAGCCACGGCUAACUACGUG